rnacentral:rRNA from 1 species
AUUGAACGCUGGCGGCAUGCCUUACACAUGCAAGUCGAACGGCAGCACGGGAGCAAUCCUGGUGGCGAGUGGCGAACGGGUGAGUAAUAUAUCGGAACGUGCCCAGUCGUGGGGAUAACGUAGCGAAAGCUACGCUAAUACCGCAUACGAUCUAUGGAUGAAAGCGGGGGAUCGCAAGACCUCGCGCGAUUGGAGCGGCCGAUAUCAGAUUAGGUAGUUGGUGAGGUAAAGGCUCACCAAGCCGACGAUCUGUAGCUGGUCUGAGAGGACGACCAGCCACACUGGGACUGAGACACGGCCCAGACUCCUACGGGAGGCAGCAGUGGGAAUUUUGGACAAUGGGCGCAAGCCUGAUCCAGCAAUGCCGCGUGCAGGAUGAAGGCCUU